rnacentral:tRNA from 1 species
GCCAGCGUGGCGUAGUGGUUUGAAUGUUGGACUACGACUCUGGAGACCAGGGUUCGAUUCCCAACUGAGCCA